rnacentral:rRNA from 1 species
CCUACGGGAUGCAGCAGUGGGGAAUAUUGGACAAUGGGCGCAAGCCUGAUCCAGCAAUGCCGCGUGGAUGAAGAAGGUUUUCGGAUUGUAAAGUCCUUUCGGCGGGGACGAUGAUGACGGUACCCGCAGGAGAAGCCCCGGCUAACUUCGUGCCAGCAGCCGCGGUAAUACGAAGGGGGCUAGCGUUGCUCGGAAUGACUGGGCGUAAAGGGCGCGUAGGCGGAAUGCUUUGUCGGGCGUGAAAUUCCAGGGCUUAACCUUGGGGCUGCGUUCGAGACGGGUAUUCUUGAGUUCGGAAGAGGGUCGUGGAAUUCCCAGUGUAGAGGUGAAAUUCGUAGAUAUUGGGAAGAACACCGGUGGCGAAGGCGGCGACCUGGUCCGAGACUGACGCUGAGGCGCGAAAGCGUGGGGAGCAAACAGGAUUAGAUACCCUCGUAGUC